AUAUAGAUAGCCAAUCUAUUUGUUAACCAGGUUUGUUGGAGUUUGGAUUUAUUACCAAGUCAUAUUUGGAGCAUGUUAGUAUCUUACAACUGAGAUUACUGGGUCAGAUACAUGCAAACAUGAGUAACAUGGCCCUGCUCUGGAGACUACUGGGAACACAAACACAGCCAUUUAUAACAUCUUCCUGCUUUUCCUUUGCCUUCCAUCAUGAUUGAAAGUUUCCUGAUAUCGCCCAGCCAUGCGUCCUGUACAGCCUCAGGAACUCCUUUAAAGAAGAAUCAGAAAAUGGAGACUGGGAUUGGAAACAGAGAUCUGAUGGCCAAAUUAUGGAGUCUUCCAGUGAACUUAACUCACCUAUGGAUUCAGAGUAUUCUUUAGUCCCUUCCACCAUGUGAGGGCACAAUGAAAGCAGUGCCCUCUAUGGAGCAGAAUGUGGGCCCUCACCAACACUGAUCUUCCAUGGCCUUGACCUUUCACUUCCCAGCCUUCAAAACAGUGAGAAAUAAAUUUCUGUAGUUUAUAAGCCAA